rnacentral:rRNA from 1 species
UACGUAGGGGGCUAGCGUUGUCCGGAAUCAUUGGGCGUAAAGCGCGUGUAGGCGGCCCGGUAAGUCCGCUGUGAAAGUCGGGGGCUCAACCCUCGGAUGCCGGUGGAUACUGUCGGGCUAGAGUGCGGAAGAGGCGAGUGGAAUUCCUGGUGUAGCGGUGAAAUGCGCAGAUAUCAGGAGGAACACCGAUUGCGAAGGCAGCUCGCUGGGACGUUACUGACGCUAAGACGCGAAAGCGUGGGGAGCAAACAGG